AACGAACGCUGGCGGCAGGCUUAACACAUGCAAGUCGAGCGCCCCGCAAGGGGAGCGGCAGACGGGUGAGUAACGCGUGGGAAUCUACCCAUCUCUACGGAAUAACGCAUGGGAACGUGUGCUAAUACCGUAUACGUCCUUCGGGAGAAAGAUUUAUCGGAGAUGGAUGAGCCCGCGUUGGAUUAGCUAGUUGGUGGGGUAAAGGCCUACCAAGGCGACGAUCCAUAGCUGGUCUGAGAGGAUGAUCAGCCACACUGGGACUGAGACACGGCCCAGACUCCUACGGGAGGCAGCAGUGGGGAAUAUUGGACAAUGGGCGCAAGCCUGAUCCAGCCAUGCCGCGUGAGUGAUGAAGGCCCUAGGGUUGUAAAGCUCUUUCACCGGUGAAGGUAAUGACGGUGACCGGAGAAGAAGCCCCGGCUAACUUCGUGCCAGCCGCCGCCGUAAGAC
rnacentral:rRNA from 1 species